CAAUAGCGUAUAUUAAAGUUGUUGCAGUUAAAAAGCUCGUAGUUGGAUUUCUGGUAGGAGUGACCGUUCCGAACUUGAUUGUUCGUGUAUUGUGUUUUCUCCAGCCAUCCUUGUGGAGAACUUUUCUUGCAUUAAUUUGUAGGGAUUGGGACCCGCAUCGUUUACUGUGAAAAAAUUAGAGUGUCUAAAGCAGGCAAUCGCUUGAAUACAUUAGCAUGGAAUAAUAAGAUAGGACUUUGGUACUAUUUUGUUGGUUUGCAUACCAAAUUAAUGAUCAACAGGAACAGUUUGAGGAUAUUCGUAUGAACAUGUCAGAGGUGAAAUUCUUGGAUUUUGAUCAGACGAACUACUGCGAAAGCAUUUAUCAAGGAUGUUUNCAUUA
rnacentral:rRNA from 1 species